AAAUCCUUCGCCCUGCAUGUAUCUCACUCUCUCACAUGUGAAUGACACAUCAGAUACAUGUUAGUUGCCACGUCAUAAUCGAUUUCAAUAAUUAUAAAUUUAAUUAAAGAAAUUUAAAAAAAUAAGAAUGAAAAAAACUUCUCUUAUCAUUCAAUUGGCCCUCAAAAUUCAAGACAGAAAGAUGUACAACUUGCAAUUGAAGAUCACCAAAAACACCAAAAUUCGUCACAACUCAUUUUGUAUUUUCCAUUAUUAUUCUCUUUGCGCGGUCAUUGACGCUCUUUCCCUCAUUCAUUUGAAUUUAUGAAAUAAAGCAUUUUAAUCCAGUAACCAGAACCCACAAAGACACCCAAAAACAAAUCUCCAAACUUAUGGGAAAAUUUAAGAAUUCAAAUAGAAUAACCUAUUUUAUUUUUUUCUUUUGGAAUAUAAGGCAAAAUCAAUCAAACCCCACUAUAAGUAAUCCUGAAGCACACACAAAAUACAUAAAUUCAAAUUAGACAAUCGGUUUUCUUUUUAGAAAGAUAACAAAUUGAAAUAAACAGCAGAAGACUGUUUGGUUGCUCAAAUUUGAACAGUUGAACAGUAAAAUGAGGAAAACCCAUAAAAAAGAAAUAUUUAUUUAAUUAAGAAUUUGAC
rnacentral:lncRNA from 1 species